rnacentral:rRNA from 1 species
CUGCAGCCCGAGUGGUGAUCGAUUUUAUUGAGCCUAAAGCGUCCGUAGCCGGACUAGUAAACCCUUGGGUAAAUUGGGCAGCUUAACUGUCCAAAUUCCGAGGGGACUGCUAGUCUUGGGACCGGGAGAGGUCAGAGGUACUCAAGGGGUAGGGGCUAAAUCCUGUAAUCCUUUGGGGACCACCAGUGGCGAAGGCGUCUGACUAGAACGGAUCCGACGGUAAGGGACGAAACCCUGGGGCGCGAACCGGAUUAGAUACCCGAGUAGUCU